UAAAUACUCCCUCCGUCCGAAAAUACUUGUCAUAAAAAUGGAUAAAAAGAUAUGUAUCUAAAACUAAAAUACGUCUAGAUACAUUUCCUUUUAUCCAUUUUGAUGACAAGUAUUUCCGGACGGAGGGAGUAUUUG
rnacentral:pre_miRNA from 1 species